GGAUGUGAGGGCGAUCUGGCUGUGACAUCUGUCACCCCAUUGACUGCCAGGGUUGAUUUGGCUGAUCUGGCUGGCUAGGCGGGUGUCCCCUUCCUCCCUCAAUGCUCCACGUGCAUCCCUCCCGAAGCUGCACUCUCGGGCGAAGAGGACGACUUUCCCUGAUGGUGGAGGACAGGUCUUUGGUCAAGGGUAGUAGCUGCUCUACCCUGCUAGAACCGCCAAACAAGCUCUCAAUGACUUCAAGGCUGAGCAGGAGACUUGGUCAGGGAGUACUCAGCCUGGAGUUGAUCCUAUGGAUCCACAAAGGAAUUUGUGGACAUC
rnacentral:snRNA from 1 species